CCUACGUGAGACAGCAGUGAGGAAUAUUGGUCAAUGGGCGGAAGCCUGAACCAGCCAAGUAGCGUGCAGGAUGAAGGCCCUACGGGUUGUAAACUGCUUUUAUACGGGAAUAACGCGCCUUACGUGUAGGGCUUUGCAUGUACCGUAUGAAUAAGGACCGGCUAAUUCCGUGCCAGCAGCCGCGGUAAUACGGAAGGUCCGGGCGUUAUCCGGAUUUAUUGGGUUUAAAGGGAGCGAAUGGGGCAUGUCAAGCGUGCUGUGAAAUGUCCGGGCUCAACCCGGGCCUUGCAGCGCGAACUGGCGUGCUUGAGUCCGCGGAAAGCAGGCGGAAUUCGUCGUGUAGCGGUGAAAUGCUUAGAUAUGACGAAGAACCCCGAUUGCGAAGGCAGCUUGCUGCAGCGGAACUGACGCUGAUGCUCGAAAGCGUGGGUAUCGAACAGGAUUAGAUACCCCAGUAGUC
rnacentral:rRNA from 1 species